rnacentral:rRNA from 1 species
UCUGGCGGCAACAGCGCGGUGGUCCCACCUGAUCCCAUGCCGAACUCAGCAGUGAAACGCCGUAG